UUGGGGUACCUUUCAGGUUUGUUUUCUUUUAGCUGCUCUUUUCCUUUUUACCUAUUUUUUUGGCCGAAUACACUCUCCUCCCUCAUCUUUUCUUUUUCGUCUUUCUUUUCGGUUUCUCUCCUCUUUGAUUGCCGAAUACACUUUUCUCCCCUUACUGUUCUUUUGAAUCUACAUUCUCUACCGUUCCUUAUUCUGCUGCACUGCUACCGAUUUACUCUU
rnacentral:lncRNA from 1 species